rnacentral:rRNA from 1 species
UUGGGAAUAUUGCACAAUGGGGGCAACCCUGACGCAGCCAUGCCGCGUGAGUGAAGAAGGCCUUAGGGUUGUAAAACUCUUUCACCGGUGAAGAUAAUGACGGUAGCCGGAGAAGAAGCACCGCCCAACUCCGUGCCAGCAGCCGCGGUAUUACGGAGGGGGCUAGCGUUGUUCGGAAUUACUGCGCGUAAAGCGCACGUAGGCGCGCUGGUCAGUUGGGGGUGAAAUCCCGGGGCUCAACCUCGGAACUGCCCUCAAUACUACCAGUCUUGAGUUCGAGAGAGGUAAGUGGAAUUCCUAGUGUAGAGGUGAAAUUCGUAGAUAUUAGGAAGAACACCGGUGGCGAAGGCGGCUUACUGGCUCGAUACUGACGCUGAGGUGCGAAAGCGUGGGGAGCAAACAGGAUUAGAUACCCCCGUAGUCC